rnacentral:rRNA from 1 species
UACAGAGGGGGCAAGCGUUGUUCGGAAUUACUGGGCGUAAAGGGCGCGUAGGCGGCCUUCUAAGUCGAACGUGAAAUCCCCGGGCUCAACCCGGGAACUGCGUCCGAUACUGGAAGGCUUGAAUCCGGGAGAGGGAUGCGGAAUUCCAGGGUGUAGCGGUGAAAUGCGUAGAUAUCUGGAGGAACACCGGUGGCGAAGGCGGCAUCCUGGACCGGCAUUGACGCUGAGGCGCGAAAGCCAGAGGAGCAAACGGGG